UGAUAGCUAUGAAGCGUGAGGUUGCUACCAGUCGAGAGGCCCGGUAGGUUUUCCGUGGAGCGAAGGUCAUGUAGAAACUGACGACAA
rnacentral:ncRNA from 1 species